UCCCUGAGACCCUGGUUCAGGA
rnacentral:miRNA from 1 species